rnacentral:rRNA from 1 species
UACGAAGGGGGCGAGCGUUGUUCGGAUUUACUGGGCGUAAAGGGCGCGUAGGCGGCCCUUCUGGUCGCGUGUGAAAGCCCCGGGCUCAACCUGGGAAUGGCGCGCGAAACGGGGGGGCUGGAGCACUGUAGAGGCUCAUGGAAUUCCGGGUGUAGCGGUGGAAUGCGUAGAGAUCCGGAAGAACACCGGUGGCGAAGGCGGUGAGCUGGGCAGUUGCUGACACUGAGGCGCGACAGCGUGGGGAGCAAACAGG